GAUGAACGCUGGCGGCGUGCUUAACACAUGCAAGUCGAACGAUGAAGCCCAGCUUGCUGGGUGGAUUAGUGGCGAACGGGUGAGUAACACGUGAGUAACCUGCCCUUGACUCUGGGAUAAGCCUGGGAAACUGGGUCUAAUACUGGAUAUGACUUCUCAUCGCAUGGUGGGGGGUGGAAAGAUUUAUUGGUCUUGGAUGGACUCGCGGCCUAUCAGCUUGUUGGUGAGGUAAUGGCUCACCAAGGCGACGACGGGUAGCCGGCCUGAGAGGGUGACCGGCCAAGGUGGGAAGGGACAGCGGCCCGGCCCCCUGGGGGAGGAGGGGGGGGGGAGUGUUGCAAAGGGGCCGCACGCCUGACGCGGCGACGCGGGGGGGGGAAGGGCGCCCGUGGGUUUGUACACUUUUUUCGGAGGGAAAGAAGGGGGAGGGCGGUUCCGUGAAAAAGAGCCCCGGCUAACUCCGGGC
rnacentral:rRNA from 1 species